GGCGUGCCUACACAUGCAAGUCGUACGAGAAAGUUGGCUUCGGCCGAUGAGUAAAGUGGCGCACGGGUGAGUAACGCGUGGAUAAUCUACCUCUCAGUUGGGAAUAACUCAUCGAAAGGUGGGCUAAUACCGAAUAAUGCUGCAUGACUUCUGUUGUGUAGUCAAAGAUGGCCUCUGCUUGCAUGCUAUUGCUGAAGGAUGAGUCCGCGUACCAUUAGCUAGUUGGUAGGGUAAUGGCCUACCAAGGCAACGAUGGUUAGCUGGUCUGAGAGGAUGAUCAGCCACACUGGAACUGAGACACGGUCCAGACUCCUACGGGAGGCAGCAGUGAGGAAUAUUGCGCAAUGGGGGAAACCCUGACGCGGCAACGCCGCGUGAGUGAGGAAGGUUUUCGGACCGUAAAGCUCUGUCGAGCGGGAAGAAAUGCAUAAUGGCUAAUAUCCAUUAUGCUUGACGGUACCGCUAAAGGAAGCACCGGCUAACUCCGUGCCGGCAGCCGCGGUAAUACGGGGGGUGCUAGCGUUGUUCGGAAUCAUUGGGCGUAAAGAGCGUGUAGGCGGCUGGAUAAGUCAGAUGUGAAAGCCCUGGGCUUAACCUAGGAAGUGCAUUUGAAACUGUUCAGCUUGAGUAGGGGAGAGGAAAGUGGAAUUCCUGGUGUAGAGGUGAAAUUCGUAGAUAUCAGGAGGAACACCGGUGGCGAAGGCGACUUUCUGGCCCUAUACUGACGCUGAGACGCGAGAGCGUGGGUAGCAAACAGGAUUAGAUACCCUGGUAGUCCACGCUGUAAACGAUGUUCACUAGGUGUUGGGGGUAUUGACCCUCUCAGUGCCGCAGCUAACGCAUUAAGUGAACCGCCUGGGGAGUACGGUCGCAAGAUA
rnacentral:rRNA from 1 species